GGGAUGUUAGUAAAACAAUUACAUAGCCUUGUCAAGGCUAAAUCACAGGUGAAACUCCUGUACGUCCCA
rnacentral:tRNA from 1 species